CCCAUUCAUCAUGAGGCGGAUCAUGAGGCGGAUAAAGCGUCAAGUGACUUUGGAGAAUAUUAGCACGUCAAGAAUAAUAUGCUGCCUUGCUGACGCUUGCAAACAAAUAUCUCAUGGAAGCAGUGUAUUAAUGUGUAACAAAGGGUUAGGUUAAAAUGCGGAUGCGGAAUGGAUAUGGGGUUAAAAUACAGAACAGAACAGAUAUGGG